rnacentral:rRNA from 1 species
GACGAAGGAUGCAAGCGUUAUCCGGAUUUAUUGGGUUUAAAGGGAGCGUAGGUGGCCUUAUAAGUCAGCGGUGAAAGACUAGAGCUUAACUCUGGAAUUGCCAUUGAUACUGUAGGGCUUGAGUAUAGUUGCUGUGGGCGGAAUAUGACAUGUAGUGGUGAAAUACUUAGAGAUGUCAUAGAACACCGAUUGCGAAGGCAGCUCACAAACUAUAACUGACACUGAGGCUCGAAAGUGCGGGGAUCAAACAGG